UGAAAUCAGUUUCCUAAAAUGCCAGUGCAAACACGCAAAGACAAAUUAUAUUCCAUUCCCUAUAUGUCUGAUUUGCCACUAUUUAAAUUUUUUAUAGAAACAGGAUAAAUGAACUUUUCUGUUCAGCGUCUCGUACUCUGUAUGAAGAACAUGUGAUGAUCUGCAGGGAUGUGUGAUGUUUACCUCCUGUAAGUUUCCAUGCAGCCUUUAAUCAAUCAGAUCAGUUUUUUUUAACUGCACAGACAGGUUGCCAAACCAUGCUGCGAUACCCAAAACCCACAAACAACUCGAACCUGCAGUAAUAACCAUCGGUUAAAUAUUAAACAA